CUACGGGGGGCACCAGUGGGGAAUAUUGCACAAUGGAGGAAACUCUGAUGCAGCAACGCCGCGUGGAGGAUGACACUUUUCGGAGCGUAAACUCCUUUUAUAUAGGAAGAAGAUGACGGUACUAUAUGAAUAAGCGCCGGCUAACUCCGUGUCAGCAGCCGCGGUAAUACGGAGGGCGCAAGCGUUACUCGGAAUCACUGGGCGUAAAGAGCGUGUAGGCGGAUUAAAAAGUCAGAAGUGAAAUCCUAUAGCUUAACUAUAGAACUGCUUCUGAAACUCUUAAUCUAGAAUAUGGGAGAGGUAGAUGGAAUUUCUGGUGUAGGGGUAAAAUCCGUAGAGAUCAGAAGGAAUACCGAUUGCGAAGGCGAUCUACUAGAACAUUAUUGACGCUGAGACGCGAAAGCGUUGGGAGCAAACAGGAUUAGAUACCCCGGUAGUC
rnacentral:rRNA from 1 species